UCUGGUUAUAGACGGUCAUUUGAAGCUGUCUUCCUGCUACAGGCAGCACUCGUUUGUGAAUACUCAUGCAUGUAAAUCUCAAUCAGGCAUUUGUACAAAUUCUUAUUAAAUCUUUUCCUUCAUAGGUUGUUAGAACUGCAAAUACGAUCGCGGUUACCCUACACAUACCACAGAGUUCACAGGCGCGUAAGUACAGCGGGAGGUGUGUUGAAGAGCUAAGUGGUAUAACUGUAGUGAUUUUUAGAAACGAAGGCAAGAAUGGGUAAGGCAAGAAGGAGAAAACAUUUUUCCCUCUUUCUCCGUCCUUCGUAAAUGCAGCCCUAAAAUAAUUGAAUCAAGAUUGUAACUGUAAAACUUCAAAGGCUACUAUAACGAAUCAGUGACAAGCUGCAUGACAUGCCAUCGAGCAGCUAAAUAAUUUAUAAUACAUCUUUUAGAGAACUAAAACCUCGUCUAGAAUUGCGUGAUGGUAAAGUUGCAUCAAUUUUCUCACUUCGAUAUGCGCAUUCUUGGGCACUCAUAUAGCCAUGCUUCUCUUUGAAAUAACAU